GACGAAGGAUGCAAGCGUUAUCCGGAUUCAUUGGGUUUAAAGGGAGCGUAGGUGGCCUUAUAAGUCAGUGGUGAAAUCUCUGGGCUUAACCCAGAAAUUGCCAUUGAUACUGUAGGGCUUGAGUAUAGUUGCCGUUGGCGGGAUAUGACAUGUAGUGGUGAAAUACAUAGAGAUGUCAUAGAACACCGAUUGCGAAGGCAGCUGACGAAACUAUAACUGACACUGAGGCUCGAAAGUGCGGGGAUCAAACAGG
rnacentral:rRNA from 1 species